CUGCAAAGUACGAAUUUGUUCAUGAAAAAAAUAGAUUUGUACUCAUCAGAGCAAGGAUUCUAACGCUCUAUCUGCAUUUGGAAGCCAUUUCUGACAAACAUGACUGAAGCCGGAUUGUGAAUUUCAGGCCUUAGGCCCUAAGAAGCUAGCAAAACCAAUAAACCAAAAUGAGAACAAGCAGUCAAGCAGUAGGGCUGUUAUCUAUUAGUUGCAGUCA